rnacentral:misc_RNA from 1 species
AAGUCGUAACAAGGUUUCCGUAGGUGAACCUGCGGAAGGAUCAUUACCGAAGUCAAGGCCCCUUCGGGGGCUAAACUUCCACCCUUUGUUUACCUUACCAUUGUUGCUUUGGCGGGCCGCCUUAGGCCACCGGCUCUCGAGCUGGUGCGUGCCCGCCAGAGACCCCCAAACCCAAACCAUAUUUAGUGUCGUCUGAAAACAAGUUUAAAUUAUUAAAACUUUCAACAACGGAUCUCUUGGCUCUG